rnacentral:rRNA from 1 species
AUGAACGCUGGCGGCGUGCCUAAUACAUGCAAGUCGAGCGAACAGAUAAGGAGCUUGCUCCUUUGACGUUAGCGGCGGACGGGUGAGUAACACGUGGGUAACCUACCUAUAAGACUGGGAUAACUUCGGGAAACCGGAGCUAAUACCGGAUAACAUUUGGAACCGCAUGGUUCUAAAGUGAAAGAUGGUUUUGCUAUCACUUAUAGAUGGACCCGCGCCGUAUUAGCUAGUUGGUAAGGUAACGGCUUACCAAGGCAACGAUACGUAGCCGACCUGAGAGGGUGAUCGGCCACACUGGAACUGAGACACGGUCCAGACUCCUACGGGAGGCAGCAGUAGGGAAUCUUCCGCAAUGGGCGAAAGCCUGACGGAGCAACGCCGCGUGAGUGAUGAAGGGUUUCGGCUCGUAAAACUCUGUUAUUAGGGAAGAACAAAUGUGUAAGUAACUGUGCACGUCUUGACGGUACCUAAUCAGAAAGCCACGGCUAACUACGU